rnacentral:rRNA from 1 species
CAGUCGCCGCGGUAAUACGAAGGGGGCUAGCGUUGUUCGGAAUCACUGGGCGUAAAGAGCACGUAGGCGGAUCUUUAAGUCAGAGGUGAAAUCCCGAGGCUCAACCUCGGAACUGCCUUUGAUACUGGGGAUCUCGAGUCCGGGAGAGGUGAGUGGAACUGCGAGUGUAGAGGUGAAAUUCGUAGAUAUUGGGAAGAACACCGGUGGCGAAGGCGACUCUCUGGUCUGUAACUGACGCUGAGGAGCGAAAGCGUGGGGAGCGAACAGGAUUAGAUACCCCAGUAGUCCCUGUCUCUUAUAC